UUAAUAACAGAUAGAUUGACUAUAACACUUUUUAUGAUUCUCCAUUGAAAUUUAAUUUAAGUUGAUAUUAAAUAAAAUAAAAAUAACUAUAAAUACUUGAAUAUUGCUACCAGCAUAAAAGCACAAGUCCCAGAUAGGGCUUAAAAAUCUUAAAAACAUAAAACACACAAAUUAACAUAAUUAAAACACGUUCUCAACCAUUUGUAUCGCCAUUAUAGAAUUUUUUCUUUCGUUAUGCUGCAUCUUUUGUUAAGUGUGAAUUUCAAAAAAUUGUAAAUCUGUCAACUUCUUUUCAUUUCAUGUGAUUUUAAAUUUAUUUCAUCCACUUUUAACAACUUGGUGAUUUUACACCUUCAUAUUGAAUACAUAUGGAUACACCUGAAAGAAAGAAAGUUCAACCCACCCUUUUGCUGUGAAGGUUACACUCAAGAAUCAUUACAGUUAUGGAGCUCCAUCCCUGCUUGUCUUAUCCGCUGAUUGAAGACAAACAAUAAAGCAGCAAUUUCUGACAAAUAAAUAGUAAUAGAUGAUCAAAGCUAUAACUAGCAAGUAGGGACCAACCUUUAUCCUUUCUAUCAGUUUUAGCAAUUAAUUUGGCUCGAAGAAAACCAAACGCAGGUUAAGAGUAGAUCUCAAACAAAAGUAAAAUUCCUUAAAAGUUGCAGCAUAAAUUUAUGUUAUAAGAAAUGUCAUCAGAGUAUCAAAAUGCAUCUCGUUUAAAGUUGCUGUAGGACUCUAUAACCAAAGAAGAUAUCUCCAGGUAAGAUUUGACAUAUCACUUGCUUUCAGCAUCAUAUAGAUCUGUACUGAAAUGUCUAUUAAGGAAAAUAAACAAGAGCCCCAGAGCAAAGAAAAUACAUACAGUUGAUAAAUGGUACUUUUUCAGAAAAAAAAAUAAAAAAUUGAAGAUGACAAAUGUUAGAUGUAUCAGAGAAGUAUAUGCCAUACUUCAUCCAGAAAUGAAAAGAGAAAGAACUGAGAACUUGAUACUAUCAUAGCGUUGUCUAAUUACGAACCAUCUAACAAAAAGACACACUUAAGGGCGCGCGCACACACAUGCACACACAAGAUGCAGUUCCAAUACACAAGAAUCUCAUGACAAUCCCCAUAGAUGAGAUAAGCUCAAUACUCAAAGACUUAACAUUUUCAAUGCAUCUACCUUAAUGUUUGACUACUUAAGGUACAACAACAACAACCCAGUAUAAUCCCAUUAAGUGGGGUCUGGGGAGGGUAGUGUGUACGCAGACCUUACCCCUACCCUAGGGUAGAGAGGUNNNNNNNNNNNNNNNNNNNNNNNNNNNNNNNNNNNNNNNNNNNNNNNNNNNNNNNNNNNNNNNNNNNNNNNNNNNNNNNNNNNNNNNNNNNNNNNNNNNNNNNNNNNNNNNNNNNNNNNNNNNNNNNNNNNNNNNNNNNNNNNNNNNNNNNNNNNNNNNNNNNNNNNNNNNNNNNNNNNNNNNNNNNNNNNNNNNNNNNNNNNNNNNNNNNNNNNNNNNNNNNNNNNNNNNNNNNNNNNNNNNNNNNNNNNNNNNNNNNNNNNNNNNNNNNNNNNNNNNNNNNNNNNNNNNNNNNNNNNNNNNNNNNNNNNNNNNNNNNNNNNNNNNNNNNNNNNNNNNNNNNNNNNNNNNNNNNNNNNNNNNNNNNNNNNNNNNNNNCAAAUAGACCCCCAGCAUCCUUCCCUCCAAGAACUUCCCACCCUUGCUCUUGGGGAGACUCGAACUCACAACCUCUCGGUUGGAAGUGGGAGUUGCUUAGAAAAUGCUAGACAUUAUUCACACUGGUACCUUUCUGGUAGGGCCAUACAAAUUCAUAAUGUUUCAUGUCAGGGAUAGGUUGCACAACAGUUAUUAGGUUGAAUUCUUCGUAUUAUCUAUUAAUUUUCAUUCAAUUUAUUUGAAGCCACCUUGAAUUUCAGUUAACCCAAGUAUAACCUUUUGAUUAUUGUUGCUGCAGGCAAGACGCUACAAACAUGAUAAUCAAAUAAAAGUUUCACUUUAUCGAAACUGUGCAUUCUAAGCAUACAAAAUAUUGCUCUCCAUUUUCUCGUUAUCUAAGGUAAGAGUGACAAAGUAACACCUCAUAAAAACUGAGUUAUUGUAGCACACUUACGCAUAAAGCUCAAUAUGUGGGCAAAAUUAAUUCUCUUGAACCAUGGCGAAACAAAAAUCCCCAGACUAGGUUCGUCCUAUGAGCAGCAAUAACUUGCAUGUUAGCAUGCAAAAGUACAGCGGCUACAUAGAGUAAACCGCACCGAGUCUAAACAGGUAAUAUGCUAGGAGCUCCUGGUGCUCAUAGAAUAAACCGCACCGAGUCUAAACAGGUAAUGUGCUAGGAGCUCCUGGUGCUCACUUUCUAAGGUUUAAAAAUUGUCCUGAACAAGAGUAGCUUUCACCACAGGAAUUCUAGAAAAAGACUUGUGAAAGCAAUGAGAGAUGGUUGACUAUCAGUGCAAUACUACAAAUAAGAACUUCUUUCGUAACAUAGAACUAUCUGAACUCCGUAUUUGCAUUUGACUAGAUUUUGCAUGAUCUAGUAAUUUGUAUAUGAUAUGAAAAGGGAGAACUUAAAACAGAAAUUUGUUUUUCUUUUUCUUUCCCCUGCUCUCUCUUUCCUUUCUCCUGAGCCGAGGGUCGAUUGGAAACAACCUCUCUGCCCUUUCGGGUAGGGGUAAGGCCUAUGUACAUGUUACCCUCCCCAGACCCCACCUUGUGGGAAUAUACUGGGUAUUAGUAGUUGUUGUUGUUGAAUGGCCAAAGGUCUAAUACAAGAAGAUAACAUACCAAGAUCUCUAAGAUAGCUAUCAACAAAAGCAAAGACCAAAGGAUUGAAAUGAAGUGGUUUUAGUAUGUGCCACAAAUGUUAUCUAUGUGAAUCAAAGUCUCCCAGACACCUAUUCGUGCACUGUAGAUAUUCAUGGGAGGUAUGGACCAUGUUCCUAAAUGUAGCUGGUGUCAAGUGGGUGGCUCCGGCUUCUAUAGAAGACAUAGUGAAGAGUUGGUGUAACGGAUUGAGAAGAAGCUCAAAUACAUCUGGAACGCAGCAUCACUAUUUAUUUUUGAUCAGUUUAGAAAGAAAGAAACAAUAGAUGCCCUGAGAACAGAUACACACCCUUGGCAUGUCUGAAAUUUCAAGUCUUACAGCUUUUGACUCUACGCAAUUUAAAAGAUGCUUAUGAUGUAAAUACUUUUGUAGACUUCUUAAACUCCCUGCAAAAUUGAGCGUAGAGUCCUUUUUGUUUUUCACCUUCCUAUAAAAAAUAUAAUAAAAAAAGAGCAGCCUGGUGCACGAAGCAUCCACGUCCACGCAGUGUCCGGGAAAGGGUCACACACUAUUGGGGUUGUAAUGUCAGCAACCUCACCCGUCGCAAGCGUCAAUGGGUGAUUCCACGGGUCGACCCUGUGACCUACAUGUCACAUGGAGACGAUUUUGCCGUUGCUCUAAGGCAAUGUUAUCAAAGGUGAAAAGCGCAAAAAAACUCUAAGGUCUGUUGAGGCUUUAAGUGCAAAACACAAAUAAAACGUGGGCUUUAAAGAAGAAAGGCGCAAAUAGAAAAAGAACUACAAAUAUAUACGUGUAGUCCAAGACUGAUAUCUAUAAGCAAAAAUAUGGACAAAGAAAUUGAAGAAAAUUUGCAAUAAAGUGAAAUAUCAAUUGUUUACUGUCGCUUCUUCAGGAUAAUGCUCAUUGGCAAGGAAAAGUAUGCCUUAGUGCCUUGAUGACAAUACAGAAGUGCGCACUAAGCAGAGGCAAAUUGCUCAACAUGUUUUGAGCCUCGCUUUAGGGCUUAAGCGCACCUUUGAUAACAGUGCCCUUCAUCAAAAAAAUAAAAAUAGUAAAGAAAAAACCAGCAAGGACUAAGGUUCUACUUCCUAAAAAAACCAGCAAGGACUAAAGGUUCUACUUCCUCUAAUAUAACUUUGUUAUGCUAGAAAACGUAAUUCUGGGGACAUCACUUCACCAUACACUUUUUACGCUUCUCGGACUAGAAUAACUAGAGCCUUAAAAUAUGCGAAUUAAUAGCAUUCUCAAAUACAUUCAUUAAACUGAUCAGAUCAUGAUUAACGACAAAUUACACAGUAAGAAGCAUGCAUCCCUCCUCAAUCACAAGGCUAAAGAGAUUUAAAUUCUAUGCUAUCAGCAAUGCUGUUUCGACAUAACCACUAUAAGGGGUCGUUUGGUAUAUUAUAUAGGAGAAUUAAUCAGUGUGGAAAACUUUGUAUUGAGUUUAUACAGUGUGUGGUUGUGUUUUGCAUAUCAGGAUAAUUAAUCCAUGUAUGCCUUAAUACACUAAUCAACAACAUGGAAUAACUAAUCCAUGUAUAUCUAAUACAUGGAUAAAACAUCAAAGGGAAAAUAUUAUCCUUGUCUUUUUCCUAGAAGCCAAUGAAGGUCAAGCAUCCAAAAGUAUACUUGUGAACUCAUUUAUUUUUAUUUGGAAAAAAUAAAUAUGUUAAAUGAUAUAUUGUAUAUCCAAUUUUAGUGCAAUGAACCAAACACCCAACAAGAAAUAAUCCAUGUAUCAUGAAUCCAUGUGUUGAUUAGUGUAAUUAGUAAGAAGAUUUGAUUAGAUUAGAUUUUAUUCUCUAGCCUAAUUAUAGGAUGAUUAUAGCCUAAUUAUAGGUUGAUUACAUUAUGUAGCUUAAUUAGUGUAAUCACUGAUUUCCUUUCCUAGUUUAGCCAUAGGAUGCAUUGUAUAAAUAUCAGUACUCUUGAUGUGAAUAAUAUACAGAAAUACAAGAAGUUCUAUUCUUCUUCUUGAAAUCUACAUGGUAUCAGAGCCUCUGCUGCCAUUUAGAGGUGAGUUUCCUCCCUCAGCAGCAUUAUAGGGGUCCAAUUUUUGAAAGAGGUUGAGUUUUUUCCUUCCUCACGGUGGUUGUCCGCAUUAAAGCCACUAUAUACCAGUAGUGUGGAAAAACUAACACCACUACAAGCUUCCUCAGUCGAAUUUUUUUUUUCAUCAACAGUAGGGUUCCAGUAAGUUUCCAGUGAACACGGGAAAAAUAUGAUAUAUUGCGACGGCGACCAAACCCGAGUGAGGAGCUCCGAGAAACGCUGCCGCACGCGCUCCCACGCGCCACCAAACACUCCCAGCUCCGGCGCGCGUGAAUCCCACGCGCCGGUGAGUAGGCGGCUUUCCGACAAUUUUUUUUGGAAUUUUUUUCUCCCUCCUGGUCGCCUGCACAUUCCGACCAAACCCUCAGUCGGAAAUUUUUUUUCAUCAAUAGUAGGGUUCCAGUAAGUUUCCAGUGAACAUUUCUGUUUUUUUUUCUUUUUGCUGCUUAUUUCCAGUAGACCACCUUUUUCUCUUGGAGUUCAAGGUUAAUUUCCGGAUUAGUAAUUAAGAAACAAUGGGGGACACCAAAUCAACAGAUGAUUCUCUUUCACAUAUGGUUAAUUCUGUCUCACAAGUCAGCACAGUUAAGUUGGAUGGGGCUGGUACAUAUCUUGCUUGGUCAAGGUCUUAUUUGCAAUUAUUAAGUCCAGAAAGUUGCUUAAUUAUAUUAGUGGAGAAAAGAAAGCACCUGUUGUAACUGAUGCUAACUUUUGGUCAAGGUCUUGUUAGCUUUUUAUUAAGUCCAGAAAGUUGCUUAGUUUAUUACUGGAGAAAAGAAAGCACCCGUUGGUGACUGAUGCUAACUAUAGUCAGUGGGAUUCAGAUAACUCUCUAAUUAUGACAUGGCUUUUGAAUACUAUGCACCCUCGAAUUUCUAAACAGUAUUUGUUGCUUGAUACUGCUGAAAAGAUCUAGAAUUCUACUAAGCGCACUUACUCUCGUAAAGGAAAUGAUGCUCAGGUCUUUGAUGCCACUAAGCAAGGUGAUUUGACUAUCACUGACUACUAUUCCGAGUUAACUGGGUUAUGGAAGGAAAUUGACUACUAUCUGGAUCUCCAAGCGAGGUGCUCCGACGAUGCAGUUCUUUUUCAAUAUUCCGAGUUAACUAGGUUAUGGCGGGAAAUUGACUACUAUCAGGAUCUCCAAGCGAGGUGCUCCGACGAUGCAGCUCUUUUUCAAAAAUUGGUUGAAAAAGAAAGAAUAUAUGAUUUUUUGGCUGGUUGAAUCCAGAAUACGAUCAGAUCAGGGUCCAAGUUCUUGGUAAAGCUCCUUUUUCUUCUCUUGAGGAUGCAUACUCAUAUGUUCAACGGGAAGAAAUCUGACGAGGAGUCAUGCUUUAUUCCACACCAACCGAGAAGUCUGGGUUAACUGUGUCUCAUGAGCAAACAAAGGCGUUCACUUCUGAUAAAGAUCACUUGCACUAUGACUACUGUGGAAGGUCAAGACAUACAAAAAAGACAUGCUGGAAACUGCAUGGUAGACCAACUAGAGGUCGUGGAGGCAAGCGUGUUGGUCUAUCAAGGGGUCAAGCUCAUAUUGCAGAAAAUAUGGGAACAUUCGGAGAAAAUGCUUCAUGAGAAGCUUUGUCUUCGGAGGAAGUUCAGCACCUUCGCCGUCUCCUAAACAAACUUGACACUUCUAAUGUUGAGUCUUCCAAUUUGUUACAGUCAGGUAUUGCUUUAACCUUCAAACAAGGAAGAGGAUUGGCAGUGAUAAAUUGCAUGAUGACUUAUAUUGGAUUGAUGAAACUUGAGCCUUUGGUCAAGCCUUUUUUGGAGGAAAUAAGAACAUCAACCAAGAAAUAAUACAGUGGCAUAGACGGCUGGUGCACCCAUCAUUUUUUGUUCUAAAGAAAUUAUAUCCUAGUUUGUUUUCUAGAACUGAGUUUGAAUUUUUGUCUUGUGAUGCUUGUGAAUAUGCCAAGCACACUAGAAACUCUUAUCUUUUAAGUGACAAUAAAAGCACUAUCCUUUUUUUGACUAUUCACUCUGAUGUAUGGGGUCCCACUCAAACAGUUUCCUUGUCUGGUAGUCGAUGGUUUGUUACUUUUAUUCAUUGUUGCACUAGGAUGACUUGGGUAUACUUGUUAAAAGGCAAAAAAUGAAGUCUUCUCCUGUUUUCAGUCGUUUCAUAAGAUGAUUUGUAUCCAAUUUGAGGUUAAGAUAAAAAUCUUGCGAACUGACAAUGGCACAAAAAAUAUACAGGUAAAGAUUUUGGUGUGUAUUUGGAGUCUUUUGGGAUAAUACAUCAAACUAGUUGUCCUUAUACUAGUGCACAAAAUGGGGUUGCUAAAAGGAAAAAUAGGCAUUUGCUAGAAGAACUCAAGAUUGUGGGAUAAUACAUCAAACUAGUUGUCCUUAUACUAGUGCAAAAAAUGGGGUUGUUGAAAGAAAAAAUAGGCAUUUGCUAGAAGUAGCGAGAUCUCUAAUGUUUACUAUGAAUUUACCAAAACCUUACUGGGGGAAUGCCAUUCUAGUAGCUGCCUACCUUAUCAAUAGAAUGCCCCUAAAAAAAACCUCAAUUUUAAAAGUCCUUUGGAAGCUUUGAAGAGUAAGAAUGAUUAUAUUGUUCCUCCAAAUGUGUUUGGCUGUGUUUGCUUUGUUCACACUAGGAGUUCGCGAAAACUUGAUCCUAGAGCUAUAAAAUGUGUGUUUAUUGGGUAUUCUCCAACACAUAAAGGGUAUAAAUGCUAUCAUCCUCCUUCUAGGAGAUCCUUCAUCAGCAUGGAUGUUACCUUUCGAGAAUCUGAGCCCCUAUUACAAUGGAAAACCAUCACCUCUUCAAGGGGAGAGCUCUAAGAAUGAAGAGAUGAUUCCCACUGUUGAAAUGAUUCCUACUAUUGAAGCCACUAAGACAGGAGAAUGUGAAAUUGAAGAAAGAAUUCGGGGGGGACUAUUGGGCGUUUGGAUAAACCUGAUUUGAUGACUUAUUCAAGAAAAAGAAAGCUGAAGAAGUCAUCGUGCAAUCUACUGAAGCUCAUCCCUCUUCUGUGGUUGAAACCUCUUCUACUGGUGAGUUAUGUACAUUCCCUAGUGAGUUAGAUGUACCUAUUGCUCAUAGAAAAGGAGUCAGAUCUUGCACCAAACAUCCUUUAUCUAACUUUGUCUCCUAUAAUUCGUUAUCUCCUUCCUAUAGAGUUUUUGCCGUGUCUGUUUCUUCUGUGUCUAUUUCCCAGAAUUGGAGGGAAGCUUUUGAAGAUUCUAAAUGGAAGCAAGCUAUGAUUGAAAAAAUGAAGGCCUUGUCAAAGAAUAAGACUUGAGAUCUUGUCAAUUCACCACUAAAUAAGAAAUUGGCUGGCAGCAAAUGGGUCUUUAUUGUGAAGCACAAAGUUGAUGGCUCGAUUGAAAGGUUCAAAGCAAGACUGGUGGCUAAGGGGUUCACUCAAACUUAUGGAGUGGAUUAUCAGGAGACAUUUGCCCCUGUUGCAAAAAUGAACACUAUUAGAAUACUUUUGUCGUGUGCAGAUUGAAGAAAGUCUUGUACGGACUGAAGCAAUCUCCAAGAGCUUGGUUUGACAGAUUCUCCAAAGCAAUGAUCUCCUUCGGUUACCAACAAAGAUUAAUCUUGAUUGGAACUUACAACAGUUUGAUGUGAAGAACGCAUUUCAUGGCGACUUAGAAGAAGAGGUGUAUAUGGAGAUUCCUCCUGGAUUUGAUACUGAACAAAGUCAAGGAAAAGUGUGCAGGUUGAAGAAAGACUUGUAUAGACUGAAGCAAUCUCCAAGAGCUUGGUUUGACAGAUUCUCCAAUAGAUUGAAGAAAGCCUUGUACGGAUUGAAGAAAUCUCCAAGAGCUUGGUUUGACAGAUUCUCCAAAGCAAUGAUCUCUUUCGGUUACUAACAAAGUAAUGCCGAUUAUACCCUCUUCAUGAAACACCAAAAAGGGUAAACUCACUCUUCUUAUAGUUUAUGUUGAUGACAUAAUGACAGGGAAUGACAAUGAAAAGAUGGCCCGAUUGAAGAAGUUGUUAGCCCAGGAAUUUGAGAUCAAAGAUCUAGGGAAGUUGCAAUACAUCUUGGGAAUUGAGGUUGCUAGAUCAGAAGGAGGGAUCUUUAUUUCUCAAAGGAAAUAUAUCCUAGACCUUUUGAAAGAAACUGGUAUGACAGGUUGCAAGCCAGCAGAAUCUCCCAGAAAGGAAAUAUCUCCUAGACCUCUUGAAAGAAACUGGUAUGACAGAUUGCAAACCAACAGAAUCUCCCAUUGAAAGUAAUCACAAGUUACAAACUAGUGUUGGAAAGUCAAUUGAUAAGGAGAGAUAUCAGAGGUUGGUUGGAAAGCUUAUUUAUCUCUNNNNNNNNNNNNNNNNNNNNNNNNNNNNNNNNNNNNNNNNNNNNNNNNNNNNNNNNNNNNNNNNNNNNNNNNNNNNNNNNNNNNNNNNNNNNNNNNNNNNNNNNNNNNNNNNNNNNNNNNNNNNNNNNNNNNNNNNNNNNNNNNNNNNNNNNNNNNNNNNNNNNNNNNNNNNNNNNNNNNCGGAAAGGGUCUACUUUUCUCUAAACAUGGUCACCUCCAGAUAGAAGCCUUUACAGAUGCGAAUGGGGCUGGAUCUCUAGAUGACAGAAGAUCUACGUCUGAUUAUUGUACACUCGUGGGAGGGAAUGUAGUUACUUAGAGAAGCAAGAAACAAAAUGUUGUUGCUAGAUCCAGUGCAGAAGCAGAAUAUAGAGCAAUGGACCGGGGUGUUUGUGAACUGAUUUGGCUACAAAAGUUAAUAGAUGAAUUGAGAUUGUCUGAGAUAGGGAAGCUUUUGUUAUAUUGCGACAACAAGGCUGCAAUUAGUAUAGCUCAUAAUCUGGUUCAAACAAAACAUGUUGAAAUCGAUCGACAUUUCAUUAAAGAAAAGAUUGUUGGUGGUACCUUGAGUUUGCUUCAUGUAUCGUCAGAAAAGCAGCUAGCAGAUGUGGUCACAAAAGGUCUUAGCAGAGAGACUUUUCACACUUUGGUUUGCAUGUUGGGCAUGUGCGACAUCUUUGCACCAAAUUGAGGGAGAGUGAUGAUUAGUGUAAUUAAUAGGAAUAUUUGAUUAGAUUAGAUUUUAUACGACAUAUUUGCACCAACUUGACGGGGAGUGUUGAUUAGUGUAAUUAGUAAGAAGAUUUGAUUAGAGUUGAUUAGAUUAGAUUUUAUUCUCUAACCUAAUUAUAGGAUGACUAUAACCUAAUUAUAGGAUGAUUAUAUUCUGUAUCUUAAUUAGUGUAAUCACUAAUUUCCUUUCCUAGUUUAGCCAUAGGAUACAUUGUAUAAAUAUCAGUACUCUUGAUGUGAAUAAUAUACAAAAAUACAAGAAGUUCUAUUCUUCUUCUUGAAAUCUUCACCAUGUAUUACUAAUACCUACAUAACUAAUCCUUGCAUUAUAAUCCAUGUAUUCUUAGUACCAAACGACCCGUAAUACGGUAAUAUUAUUGGGUAUCAGCAUUAAGACGUUAGACAAUGUUUUUUUUGAUAUUGGCAUUCAGAUCGAUGCAACUAGGACAAAGAACUUGUUCUGUUAGGCAUCCUCACAAUUGUUGGAAAAUUUAAUAUUAGAUAUAAACAGGAUUCUUAAUUUUCGGUGCCACUCGCGUCGACACGACAGACAUACAGUGUUUUCUUUUAAGAAGAAACACAAUGAUUUGAAACCAAAGCAAAAGUUAGGGUGAAAUUGAAAAUAGAAUACCUUGUAUAUAGAAAUUUCCAUGUCAGUCCUUUUUCUUUUAUCUCCUCGGAUUCUCUUCUUGACAAUAGUUUCUCCUUCUCAGAAUACUUUGUGAGUUUUCUACAUAUUGUCUCAUAUUUUAGACACAUUCUUUUGUAAAUCUGUUUUUAGAUAUUUGAAUUAUUUAGUCGAAUCUUCGCAUCCGUAUCCGACUAUCUGUACUUGGGUAUGCACCCCCAAAUCUCAAAAUUCAGAUUAUAAAAGAUCUGACCUCCAAUUCCGCAACUGCGUAAGACACCCACACCUGAAUCCGAGCAACUUAGCAUCUUAAUCAGAUUUAUGGCUAACAGAAAUGGAUUGGUGUGUACCAUAAUAGACAUUCUUUUCCUACUGGAUUGGUUUGGAGGCUUAUUCUAAAGGAAAAGCCAUGGUUGAUCCUUAAUUUGGUUGCGGGAAGAGAUAAGUAAGUGUCAUGGUUAACCUUGACUUGAGGAAAUUAGAACUUGAUUGGUCUAUUUGCUACUUGAUUUAUGAGUGGGGACGACAUAUAUGCAAAGUGACGAGUAUAUAUACGUAGUCAUCGGUUAAGCAGCGGAGUUAGGAUACUUCGACGUAUAUGCAAGGUGACCGAUUUUCAUGUUAUACUUGUUUUUUCUAUUUUGUUGUUAUUUCAUUUAACGCAUACAGGUUUAUAGUGAGUGUCUUACUAUAGCCUCGUCACUACUUCGUCGAGGUUAAAAUCGGCACUUACGGAGUACAUGGGGUCGGUUGUACUCAUACACUUCUGCGCUUCUUGUGUAGAUUCGAGUGUUGGUCCCAGCAACAGAUAGUGGAGGCUCGCUCGGACUAUCCCAUCACGGAGACUUGAGAUAUAGCUACACGACGUUGUAGAACCUGAAGUCCUCUUAUUAUUUCUUGCACUAUUAUUUCAUUCAGGAAGCUGUAUUUUUGUUUCAGACCUUGGUUGUAGUAUUUUGUAUUAGUAGCUCAUAUACUUGUGACACUAGAUUCCGGGGUUUUGACUAGACGGCAUAUUGGGAUUUAUAAUAUCUAUUUUGAAGUUCUACAGUCUUUAUUUCUUAUUUAACUGUUUCUAAAAAUUGUUAAAAUGAAUAAUGUGUAGCUAAUGUUGUCUUGCCUAGCAAGUGAACGUUAGGCGCCAUCAUGAUCCCGCGGUUGGGAUAUCGGGUCGUGACACGAAGAUUCUAAAUUUGAAAAUGAUUUAACUUAAACUUCCCAUUUUAUCCUUACUAACAAGCUUUUAUAGCCACACAACUGUUAUGACAAUUUUAAGACUACAGUUUCAAAAGUUUUACAAUCACACAAAUGUAAUGGCAUGCUUAAGACUGCAAGUUUUAAAAGUUUACAUCUUCUUAAACUUCAUUCCUAAUCAAACUAUGCCACAAAAAUAGAAACAAAGGAGUAUAUGAGUUGUAAAAGAUGGACUUAUUCACUAUCUAUCGAAACAAUCAAAUGAUUCCCAAUACUGCAGGAGUAUAAUGACUGUAGGUCUUGAGGCAAUACUACAUGAGUAUAAUGAUAUAAUCUUGAGGCUACAAUUGUAAAUGUACUCACAAUAUUCUAAAGUCAAUACACAUUAUAUUGGAAAUGUUGUGGACAAAAAAGGAGUGUAAUAAAGGCGAAAAGUGCAAAAAAGCUCUAAGAUCCUUUGGGGCUUUAAGCGCAAAUAAAGCAUGGGCUUUAAUGAAGAAAGGCGCAUAUGGAGAAAAACUACAAAUAUGUAUUGUAUAAUCCAAGACUAAUAUCUAUAGGCAUAGGCAUAAAUACCAAAUAUAUGGACAAAAAGAUUGAAAAUAUUUUACGAUAAAGUGAAAUAUCAAUUGCUUAGUGUCGCCUUUUUAGGAUUACGCUCAUUAGCAAGGAAAAGUAUGCCUUAGAGCCUUGAUGACAACAUUAAAGCGCACACUAAGCGAGGCGAAGCGCCUAACAUGUUUUGAGCCUCGCUUCAGCCUUCAGGGCUUAAGCACACCUUUGAUAACACUGCUUAAAAGAAAGAAAGAAAGAAAAGAGACUGGCUAAUUGGGAAAAAGGGAUAAAGGUGUCGUCUCCGGCAUUUGGAUGGUAACAAAAAAUAUUAUAUAAUUUAAUUUUUAAAGUUUAUAUGCAUAAUUUCAAGCUAUUUUUCACAUAAGGUGAGAUAUUCCAUAUGAAAUCCUAAAAUAAUGGAAAAACAUAUCCUACUUGUACCUCUUAUUUUAACUGUUCAAUUUUAUCAAACAAGCUGCAAAGGCUUUAAAUGGUGGGUUAUCGCACAACAUUUGUGAUAAGGCUUCCAGUUGAUGGUCAAACCCAACCAAACAUACCUAUAUCUACAUCUAGUGGAUUAACUUUGUUACCGUUGAAUUCGAUGAAGGAACUCACCUAUCAACAAUUCUGCCAAUUCUUUUUGAUAACCCAAAAAAUUCUUGAGGGUCAGCAGCUCAAGGUUCGAAAUAAUAGGCUCAUCCGUCUACCCUUCUCCACUUAAACAUCAUGCACAAUUCUUCGAGCGUACUAACAUGCUUUGAGAACAGAAGAAUUCCAAUAAUCUGUAGAAAUACAGAAGGAAGCACCAAGCAGUUUUUUCAUUGUUAUCAGACAUUUUUCAAUAACCUAACACCAACAACUCUCUAACUAAAAACUGAAUUAGCAAAUCAACUUUAUGAAGAACAGAGUGAUGCAUACCUGCCACUGCUCUUACUCAUUUAUCGUCUUUCACCUCCUCUAAUUGUAAUAACAACUACCAUACACAAAUAGAGGUCCCUCUUCUCAUCCCAUCUUUUGCACGGUCAACCUGUCCAACUAUCCUCUUGCCAAAGCAUAUUGUCAAUGUCCUAACGGUUUUGCUACUAAAUGAAAUUCCACAUAGAUACCAAGUUUAGUCUCAAUAGGAUCCAUUUAAACCAACCAAAAUCAAAGUGAAACCCAAACUGGACCUUACAAACCCCUGGGCACUUUAUCUUAUUACAAGGUCUGCAAAUGUUAAAGAACCUAUUAUGCAAAAUCCUAGCAAGUAUUACUGAAGUUCUCACAUAAAAACCACAAUACAGGAGGAAAUUCUACAGGAAACAAAUGUAUUUGCUUAAAUUCCUAAAACAUUUUCUUUAUGAGAAUUUAGGAGUACAACAUCAAGUACGAUGUGAAAAUGUCCUAUGAGAUGAUAUUUUUUUGAAUCAUUUUCUGGUGUUAGGUUAGGUUGGUGGCAUAUGAUAAUAUGCAUGCACGGCAUUUAGCUGGUGUUCUGUAAUAGUUAUGAAUUGCCAACCAAACACCAUAAAAUGAUUAAAUGAGAAAGGAAAAAAAAUCUCUAAAAUACCAAAUAGAACCUUUCUUCACAUAUCUAUUUCAAGACAAAGCAUCAUCUAUUAACCCCACUGUACGAUUACUCUAAUGUCUUUGAACUCAUUCUAUGCACUAUAGACUUGUAUUAAAACAUAAGCCUUCAGAAUUUUCUUUGUGUGUGUGUGUGUGUGUGUGUGUUGGUGGGGGGUGGGCGGUUGAAAAAGCAAUGUUAAAGUGGAGGAACGAAAGGAUACACUAAAUAAGUGCCAUGGGCAAAUGCACCAGCCAAAACACCAUAGAACAAACGAUCCCUAA
rnacentral:lncRNA from 1 species